AGGACGAACGCUGGCGGCGUGCUUAACACAUGCAAGUCGAGCGGAAAGGCCCUUCGGGGUACUCGAGCGGCGAACGGGUGAGUAACACGUGAGUAAUCUGCCCCUAGCUCUGGGAUAGCUCCGGGAAACCGGGAUUAAUACCAGAUACGACCACUUUAGACAUCUUCUGUGGUGGAAAGAACUUCGGCUAGGGAUGAACUCGCGGCCUAUCAGCUUGUUGGUGAGGUAACGGCUCACCAAGGCGACGACGGGUAGCCGGCCUGAGAGGGCGACCGGCCACACUGGGACUGAGACACGGCCCAGACUCCUACGGGAGGCAGCAGUGGGGAAUAUUGCGCAAUGGGCGAAAGCCUGACGCAGCGACGCCGCGUGGGGGAUGAAGGCCUUCGGUUGUAACCCUUUCAGCAGGACGAAGCGAAAGUGACGGUACUGCAGAAGAAGCGCCGGCUAACUACGUGCCAGCAGCCGC
rnacentral:rRNA from 1 species